rfam:Gossypium arboreum cultivar AKA8401 contig_3852_15, whole genome shotgun sequence.
UCUUAAAAUUUUAUUCAUUUUUAUUAUUAAAACUUGCUGUGGCUAAUAGAAUCACCAGCCAGUUUCACAUAAAGUGCUACAUGUAUUUAAUUCUAGCAUACAUUGACCAAUUUUUAAUAGUAGAAUUGAAUAGAAUUUUUAAUA